rnacentral:misc_RNA from 1 species
AACGCACAUUGCGCCCCCUGGUAUUCCGGGGGGCAUGCCUGUUCGAGCGUCAUUACACCACUCAAGCCUGGCUUGGUAUUGGGCGCCGCGCCCGUUCGCGCGCCUCAAUGUUCUCCGGCUGAGCCGUCCGUCUCCAAGCGUUGUGGCACUUUAUGUUUCCGCUUCGGGGCACGGGGGGUUCGCGCCGUUAAAUCAUUUUCACAAGGUUGACCUCGGAUCAGGUAGGGAUACCCGCUGAACUUAA